UUUGUUUAAUUUAUUGAAUUAACUCUGAUUUAUUUAAUAUCUAGCUUUUAAAAAAGUUCUAUAGUGUAGUUAAUAGCGCUAUUGAAAUUGUCAAAAUUGUUGCGAUAUGGAAUCAAGCGAAAAAAUUACCAGGAAACUCUUAAGUUAUCUUUCGGAUGCCAGUGUUCAAAGUUUAACCAAACUGCGGCGACACAUUGCAAAUCAACCGGAUUCAGUUAUAAGUUCAUUCGCUGCAAAUGGCGGAUGCGAGAAGAUCUUUUCAGUCCUUUCAAAACAUUCAACUUCAUCAGAAAACGUGAUUAAGAUAGAAGACGAUGCUGUUCAGUCUGCAGUCGAGUGUCUGAGGAUUCUCAAAGCCAUGAUGCGAUGUGACUCUGGCUUAGACUACAUUUCAAAUUCACAAAACAGCCAAGAUCUUUUUUCCCUGAUGCUGGGCUCGUGGCAGGAUCCUUCUGUACUUAGACAUCUGUAUGGGUUGCUGUCUGUUAUUGCAGUGCACUCUGUUUCCGGUUACAGCUGCACUCUGCAAGCAUUGCAGCUCCACCAGGAGAACGACAACCUGAAGAGCAAGUUCGAGAAUGUUGUUGGGAGAGAUCUAGGCAACCUGUCGAAGAGU